rnacentral:rRNA from 1 species
CCUACGGGAGGCAGCAGUGGGGAAUAUUGCACAAUGGGGGGAACCCUGAUGCAGCGACGCCGCGUGCGUGAAGAAGUAUUUCGGUAUGUAAAGCUCUAUCAGCAGGGAAGAAAAUGACGGUACCCGACUCAGUAGCCCCGGCUAACUACGUGCCAGCAGCCGCGGUAAUACGGAGGGGGCAAGCGUUAUCCGGAUUUACUGGGUGUAAAGGGAGCGCAGCCGGCUGUGCAAGUCUGGAGUGAAAGGCGGGGGCGCAACCCCCGGACUGCCCUGGAAACUGUACAGCUGGAGUGCAGGAGCGGUAAGCGGAAUGCCUGGUGUAGCGGUGAAAUGCGUAGAUAUUAGAAGGAACACCAGUGGCGAAGGCAGCUUACUGGACUGCAACUGACGUUGAGGCUCGAAAGCGUGGGGAGCAAACAGGAUUAGAUACCCUUGUAGUC